rnacentral:rRNA from 1 species
GGGACAAGCCCUGGAAACGGGGUCUAAUACCGGAUAACAUCCCCGCCCGCAUGGGCGGGGGUUGAAAGCUCCGGCGGUGAGGGAUGAGCCCGCGGCCUAUCAGCUGGUUGGUGAGGUAACGGCUCACCAAGGCGACGACGGGUAGCCGGCCUGAGAGGGCGACCGGCCACACUGGGACUGAGACACGGCCCAGACUCCUACGGGAGGCAGCAGUGGGGAAUAUUGCACAAUGGGCGCAAGCCUGAUGCAGCGACGCCGCGUGAGGGAUGACGGCCUUCGGGUUGUAAACCUCUUUCAGCAGGGAAGAAGCGCAAGUGACGGUACCUGCAGAAGAAGCGCCGGCUAACUACGUGCCAGCAGCCGCGGUAAUACGUAGGGCGCGAGCGUUGUCCGGAAUUAUUGGGCGUAAAGAGCUCGUAGGCGGCCUGUCGCGUCAAUUGUGAAAGCCCGGGGCUUAACCCCGGGUCUGCAGUCGAUACGGGCAGGCUAGAGUGUGGUAGGGGAGAUCGGAAUUCCUGGUGUAGCGGUGAAAUGCGCAGAUAUCAGGAGGAACACCGGUGGCGAAGGCGGAUCUCUGGGCCAUUACUGACGCUGAGGAGCGAAAGCGUGGGGAGCGAACAGGAUUAGAUACCCUGGUAGUCCACGCCGUAAACGGUGGGCACUAGGUGUUGGCGACAUUCCACGUCGUCGGUGCCGCAGCUAACGCAUUAAGUGCCCCGCC